AUAGAAACACACAGGUGAGGAUCAUCAGGUGGAGACAGGCUGCAGGACGAUGCCAUGCCUCAACACACACACAGUUUACAGUUCAGGCCAUAAGUAUGUGGACAGGUACAUGUUCUUCAGAAAUAAAAGAACACAUUCUACAUUAGAGAGUCUGAGCAGGUUUACAUCAGUGUAGAAACAAGAGUGUGACGGACAGAGCUCCAUGUUUACAGUCACUAACAAUCACAUUUAAUAUUCACAGGAAAAUCCUUCAGCAGGUGACUGAGACCAGGUGACUGACGAAUAGACUGAGACCAGGUGACUGAGACCAGGUGACUGACGAAUAGACUGAGACCAGGUGACUGACGAAUAGACUGAGACCAGGUGACUGACGAAUAGACGGAGACCAGGUGACUGACGAAUAGACUGAGACCAGGUGACUGACGAAUAGACUGAGACCAGGUGACUGAGACCAGGUGACUGAGACCAGGUGACUGACACCAGGUGACUGACACCAGGUGACUGACGAAUAGACUGAGACCAGGUGACUGAGACCAGAGCUUUGGGACGAUGUCGUCUUUCUCCAACGGAAACAGGAAAUACAUCGUUACCCACAAUACUUCAGAAAGGAGAUUAUUUUAUAAUUAAUCAAAUUACAUCCUUGUUUUUCACAGUUGUUGAAUUGAUUGAGUCAUUUUAAAAAUCAUGAAGCGUUUUUCAGGAAAACAGCUGUUUGUUUUACCGAUUGUUUUUCUUGUUUCUUCUUUGAUGAUAGUUUACAUCGUUUUACAUGAUGACGUCAUGUUUACUGGAGCAGGAAGAGAAGCUGCUACUGACUGAUGGAGAUCUGAACAGAUUCAUUAAUGACUGAAUGAAUGAAUGAAUAAAUAAAUACCACACUGAAUGAAGUCACAGCUGUAAAGACUCUGUGCAUCUACACUGAUGUAAACCUGCUCAGACUUCACUUUUUAAUAUCAUGUCUAUUAUUUGUGUCCACAUACUUAUGGCCCGGACGAUGACAUCAUCAUCAGCAGCUUCAUGAACCUGUCGUUUCUGAUUUUUUCCAGUUUGCUUCAUGGCCGUCGACCUUUAACUGACGUCACCAUGGUAACCACCAUGACAGUAUGACCUCCACAGUGACUGCUGUUACUGUUGUUCCCUGUUUAUUCACCACUACAGCUGAGACACAGUAAGACUGACUGUAGUCUGGUCAACAGGCUCCUCAGGCUCA